CCAAUAGCGUAUAUUAAAGUUGUUGCGGUUAAAAAGCUCGUAGUUGGAUUUCUACCGAAGACAGCCGGUCCACACUACGUGUGCGCAUCUGGUGUGACUUCGGUAUCCUCAUGGAGAACAGCCUGCACUUCAUUGUGUGGGUUGGUAUUCAUGACUUUUACUUUGAGGAAAUUAGAGUGUUCACGGCAGGCAAUCGCCCUGAAUACAUUAGCAUGGAAUAAUAAUAUAGGACUUCGGCCCUAUUUUGUUGGUUUCUAGAGCUGAAGUAAUGAUUAAUAGGGACACUUGGGGGCAUUCGUAUUAUCACGUCAGAGGUGAAAUUCUUGGAUUGUGUUACGACGAACUACUGCGAAAGCAUUUGCCAAGGAUGUUUUCAUUGA
rnacentral:rRNA from 1 species